rnacentral:misc_RNA from 1 species
CCCAACUCGAUUAAAAAGGGGAUGGAAGCCCAUUCUAGGACUUCCACAACGCUGCAUAAGGAGAAAAGGUGUAGGCUUUGAAGUGUUAGGGAAGAAACUAUUCCUAUUCGGUGGAUGUGGCUGGAUUGAAGAUGCUACUAACGAAGUCUAUUGCUAUGAUGCUGCCAUGAAUAAGUGGAAUCAAGCUACUUCCUUGGUGGUUCCAAGGUGCUACUGUGUAUCUGAAGUGUUGGAUGAAAAAAUCUAUGCAAUUGGGGGCAUAGGGCCAAAUUCCAAUAAUUUACCUUCCUGGGAAACUUACAACACGGAAAUAAGAAGUUGGACUUUGCAUGAAAACCCUAACAUUUUCCCUGAUAUUGAAGAUUCUAUAGUCUUGGGUGGGAAGAUUUACAUUCGCGGGGGUUCUUCGCCUCAAUCUUCUUCAGUGUCUGCAUUUGUUUAUGAACCAUCAAGCAGCACAUGGCAGCCGGCAGCUUCUGAGUUAGUAUCAGGUUGGUAUGGUCCAGCAGUUGUCGUAGAUGGAACGCUUUAUGUGUUAGAUCAGUCUUCAGGUACCAGGUUGAUGAUGUGGCAAAAGGAUAUUAGGGAAUGGG